AACACGUGGCCAAACUACCCUACAGACCGCGAUAACCUCGGGAAACUGAGGCCAAUAGCGGAUAUAACUCUCAGGCUGGAGUGCCGAGAGUUAGAAACGUUCCGGCGCUGUAGGAUGUGGCUGCGGCCGAUUAGGUAGAUGGUGGGGUAACGGCCCACCAUGCCGAUAAUCGGUACAGGUUGUGAGAGCAAGAGCCUGGAGACGGUAUCUGAGACAAGAUACCGGGCCCUACGGGGCGCAGCAGGCGCGAAACCUUUACACUGCACGACAGUGCGAUAGGGGGACUCCGAGUGUGAGGGCAUAUAGCCCUCGCUUUUCUGAACCGUAAGGUGGUUCAGGAACAAGGACUGGGCAAGACCGGUGCCAGCCGCCGCGGUAAUACCGGCAGUCCAAGUGAUGGCCGAUAUUAUUGGGCCUAAA
rnacentral:rRNA from 1 species